rnacentral:rRNA from 1 species
UACAGAGGGUGCGAGCGUUAAUCGGAAUUACUGGGCGUAAAGGGCGCGUAGGCGGAAGAUUAAGUUAGAUGUGAAAUUCCUGGGCUUAACCUAGGGACUGCAUUUAAUACUGGUUUUCUAGAGUAGAGUAGAGGGAAGUGGAAUUUCCGGUGUAGCGGUGAAAUGCGUAGAUAUCGGAAAGAACACCAGUGGCGAAGGCGGCUUCCUGGACUCAUACUGACGCUGAGGCGCGAAAGCGUGGGGAGCAAACAGG